ACACCCGCUGUGAGUCCUGUAUCUUGAUCAUUUAAACAGCGUUAAAUGGUUAAGUAAUAUAGAUAGUGGCAAAAUAACAGGUGUUCUUUUCAUUGAUCUUAGUAAAGCCUUUGACACUGUAAACCACCAGGUAUUGUUACACAAGCUUUUAUCAUUUGGUAUUUGUCAAAAUUCUUUUAAAUGGUUUCAGUCUUAUCUUAGCGGAAGAUCACAAUGUGCUAGAUGGAAAGGUGUUUUGUCAGAUGAAAAAGAUGUUACAAUAGGAGUGUCUCAGGGGUCCAUAUUAAGUCCACUGUUCUUCAUUUUAUUUGUUAACGAUUAUCCUAAAUGCCUAAAGCACUCAAAUGUCUCUAUAUAUGCAGAUGAUACAUCUCAGGAUGUUUCACAUCAAUCUAUUGAUGUUAUUGAGCAAAGGUUACAUGAUGAUCUUUUAAACUCUAUGAAAUGGGUGAAAAGUAAUAAACUUACGAUGAAUUUAGAGAAAACACAAUGUAUGUUGAUUGGCACUGCACAAAAACGCUCAAAGUGUAGAAAAAUGUGUAUUAAAGUAGGAAAUAUUGUUUUAGAUACUGUUAAAAGGGCCAAACUUCUUGGUGUACAAAUAGAUGAAUGUCUAACCUGAAAAGGGCAGCCAGAAUUAUAUUGAAGGUGAAAGUAACUCAGACUUCUACAGCUGAUAUUUUUAGUGUUCUUGAAUGGAUGCCUGUUCAUGAUUAUGUUGUAUAUAGAAAACUAGUGCUUGAUUUUAAGGUUCUUAAUGACAUGACACCAGAAUAUAUGAGAGUUUUUAGUUUUGUCAGCCAAGUUAGUUUCAGAACAACAAGAAGUAGCGAUAGUGGCAUUUUAUAUUUACCAAAAGUUUGAACUGAAUAUUAUAAAUGGUCUUUUAAGGUAUCCUCCACAAUUUUAUGGAAUGAGUUGCCCGAGUCUGUCAGAAGCUGUGGUUCUAUUACAUCUUUUAAAUCAGCAUAUUUGCAGCAUUAUUACUCAAAUAAGUGAUAUAUAGAUAUGAUGUAUAUGUUUAUUUUUCCCCAGUGAUAUGGUGUGUAUAUUGUAUGUAUAUAUUUCAUAUUAUGUUAUCUAUUUUUCUAUUCUUUCAUUUAUCUGUCUGUCAAUAUGUCUUAUACAGGACCACAAUGCAAACUAGUCAUUUGUACUAAUUGUGCUAUCCUGUCUAAAUAAAAGAAUUUAUUUAU